UUUAGCAGCCAUAUCACCCUGCAGCUCUCGUCUGGUUUCCCACUGAAGAUAAGCAGGGUUGAGCCUGGCCAGUACCUGGAUAGAAGACCUCUUGGGAAAAACUAAGGCUGCUGCUGUAA
rnacentral:rRNA from 1 species